AGACUUUCUAAUCCAUGUCAAGAUUUCGUUAGACACCAACCCACCUGAGCUUACGAAACUUUCAAGAUAAAUGAGAUG
rnacentral:pre_miRNA from 1 species